rnacentral:sRNA from 1 species
UUUGCACUUGUCGGGGAAGGGUGAGAACCUUCGAUUAAGGUUCGACUCGAGCGAAAGCGAGAGAACGUUGCCAACGGCAACGGCCCGAAGGGUGAGGAGCGAAGCGACGAAUAAUCCUUCCCCCACCACCA